rnacentral:rRNA from 1 species
AUUGAACGCUGGCGGCAGGCUUAACACAUGCAAGUCGAGCGGGGGAAGGUAGCUUGCUACCGGACCUAGCGGCGGACGGGUGAGUAAUGCUUAGGAUCUGCCUAUUAGUGGGGGACAACAUCUCGAAAGGGAUGCUAAUACCGCAUACGUCCUACGGGAGAAAGCAGGGGAUCUUCGGACCUUGCGCUAAUAGAUGAGCCUAAGUCGGAUUAGCUAGUUGGUGGGGUAAAGGCCUACCAAGGCGACGAUCUGUAGCGGGUCUGAGAGGAUGAUCCGCCACACUGGGACUGAAACACGGCCCAGACUCCUACGGGAGGCAGCAGUGGGGAAUAUUGGACAAUGGGGGGAACCCUGAUCCAGCCAUGCCGCGUGUGUGAAGAAGGCCUUAUGGUUGUAAAGCACUUUAGGCGAGGAGGAGGCUACUCUAGUUAAUACCUAGGGAUAGUGGACGUUACUCGCAGAAUAAGCACCGGCUAACUCUGUGCCAGCCGCCGCCGUAA